CAAAAUCCAGAGUCGUUACAAAUUUAUUUUUUUUAAAUCACCUUUCCAACUCUUCCAAAAACACUGGUUAAACCAGUGGUAUGGUAGUGUUCUGAGCGGAUUCAGAACAUGUGCUCCAACACUAUAUUACAGUAAGGUUUCUACUAGUUCAGUGUAUGUAUAAGAAUAUUGUACAACUCAUCUCUAACCAUGCGUGCUACUAUUUCAUACUAAACAUCACAUUUACUGUUAAUGUGCAGCUCAAAUAUGCCUGUACCAAAUUUUCAAAGCUCAAAAUCGGGACACGUUGUUAAAUAAUCGAUAACACUAACUCCAGUAAAACGAGAGUGACGUGUAUCUAAGUGUUUUAUAUCCGAGUGCUGCAUAAUUAAUCCAUCAAAAAUACAUUUACGUUUUGUCAUUUUUAAACUCACUGCAUCAAUAUGGAUUUAUUGACGUUGUUCGUGUGGUUUAACCUGGUGGAUUCGAAUGCGUGCAUUGCAACCUCUCGCUGCUCUGCCUUGUCUGGGUUAAAUAAACCCGGCCAGAACUGAAAAGCUACGAAUUCUCCUAUUACACAUAGUUGUAGAUUCAUAUUGCACGUCUGUCUGCGUUAAUCACUUUACAAAAUUAAUGUUCAUUAACCUAGUAACUUUUUUUGUAUGUUUUCACUGCAGGUGCCAUAAACUAAAUUAUAUAGGAAGCGUCUGUAAGUUAUUUUGACAAAAUGCAGUGACUGAAAACCGGGUUAAGAUUUUGAGAAACGUCGUGAAACCGGGAUCUUUGAUGGAAAAACGCACGGCUGUAAGGAAGUAAAGUCCUAUCUAAACUGGUUUCAGGACUUUACAGGUAUUUUAUUUUUAUUUAUUUUUUGCAGACAACUGUGUUUUCUAGUCUAGUUUAGAUAACCACAAAAAAAAAAAAAAUCACUUAUUGCCUACUGUAUGUACGUUGAGGACAAAAAAAAAGCACGAUUGCUUGUAUUAAAAACAAAACGUGUCGUUUAAAUUUGAUGCAUAUCAUUUGAUCAAAUAUGACAACAGAAAAGCAACCGGUUUAUACAUUUUAUUAUUAUUAGGAAGACAAUGAACAGAAUGUGCAAUCCAUACUAUAUCGCUAGACAGAGUGAGCGCUUCACAAACCCUCUUCCGUAUUGAAGGCGUUUUGUCAACAUCCAGGAAGUGACGACAAAUGAUCUUGCUUUGAGCGCCAGAGACACACAAGGACCUCACCUCUACUGAGGAAUCCCACCGAGGUGAAACAUCUAAUUUAUGAGGACAUCCUGGAGGCAGAAGCAGCUGACAGAACAGUAAUAGUAAAGUUUCACUCUACAGCACCAGUUAAAUUGGUUCCCUGGCCAAACAUAUGUUCUUGACUAAAAAACCCUGCUGUUUUGCAAAUAGUGAUCUUUCAGGAAAGGAUUUUUUUUGUUACUUAUGAGAAAUGGUUUAUUGAUGGAUGGGGGUUAAAACUACAAGGGAGGUUAGAAUAAUAAACACUACAAAAUGGGUCAAUUUAAA